UAGGAUGACUCUUAGGAGAGUAAAACACAUUAUAUCAAACCGGAGCAAAAUACGUCCAAUGUGCGCGAAUGAAACAUUAAUUUGCCAUACGAAGGAUUAUGGCUACGCUUUAUCUUCCAGUUAAUCCUGAUUUAGAGAUUCUGCUACGUACGCCACCUAACCUAUUCGUCGGGAAUUAAGAUGCUGGAAAUACGAGUUGUUUUGCCGUUUUGAUAUAGCUUACGUCAAACUUGAAGAUUAAUUUUUGACAUUUCUUUUUUGUGUUUCCUAUCCACUUAGUGAUUAAUGAUGAAAAAAACAAGUAAAAUAGACAUUAUGUAUUACAUUAAAUAUAAUAAAGCUUCGAAUAUGAAAAAUUUCUAUUUAAAAUUGAUAUGAUUUGAUGAGCAAUAUAACUACACAUAUUAUAUAUUAUUAAAAAUAUAAACAAAUAAGUAUAGAAUAAUAAGAAUAUCAAAAUGUUUUAAAAGUAAUGAAAAAUAGGUUAUACGUAAGAUAUGAAAAGAAUUUUAAUAUUUAUAAAUAUAAUUUUCUUCAUUAAGAUUGAAGUUAAUGUAUAAAAUGUAUUUCUAAAAUAGAUUUUAAAUCUGAUUUGUAAUUAUUGUUCUUUUUUCUUAAAGUCACAAAUUUUCAAAUUACAACUAGAUUUAAAAUUAAAUUUACACUUCUCAGUUAUUUAUAAAUAACAAACACCUUUAAUUUAUUUCAUUUCACUUCAAAUCCAAUUUCUCAAUUUUAUUAUUUUUCUCUUCUGUAGCAAGCUGAUACAAAUUUAUAGGAGCUUUUGUUAUAGCUUCCUGAGUCAUAGAUGCAUUUCGUACGGCGGGAAUGUUGACACAAACUGAUAGAAAGGAUGUUUGCUAGACUCGUGAAGGGUUAACCAAGUUGAUAAGGGUAAAGUAAUUGAUACUGACGCUAAAACGUCUGACCGUGAAGUAAGUACAAACGGAACAUCCGGCGGAAUUAUAGGAUUAUAUUAAUACGCUCGUUUCGCAGAACCAUGGUUGCUAUUUGCAGUUACCACGCGCUUCUUCGAUACCCUGCGUGUAAAUUCAUUCAUUAGGGAUUUGCAGAUCUUCGAAGACUAUUAAAGGGUGGCCAAUCUAAAUUGGCUAAACUAUAAAAUGAAUUUUAAUUAAAUUGUUAAUACAAUUAGUAAUCCAAGAAUUCAGAAGGGUGUCACUAUGUCUAACAAGUGUAAAUGACGGCUGAAUACGACCGUGUGCACGCGAACAAAAGAGUGAAUUCUUAAGGGUGAACAAAGCAUUUAAAGAAACUUCAACUCCAUAACCAAAAUUACUUUUAAAGGAAUAUGUGAUAUCAAAGAAUCUCCCAUCAUGAGAAUCUAUACAUCCAGAAUGGAAAAAAAAUUACCUGAUAUUCGCGAAUCCUAUUCGAGAGUGCUGUACAUUGAUCAUGUGCCAUCUGACGCGUUCGCCAGUAUAAAAUUGCGUGUGAGAUAAACGUCUCAUUCUUCCACGAUCCACGAUACUUAAAACGUUUAAAAUAUUUGAACUUUAUUCCAUACAAUGGGAUAGUAGAAAACACUAUACAAGUAAACGAUUCCAUGAUCGCCGCUACGCGGCGAAUUAUCGUUUACAUCCUUUCCCCGAGACGUAAAUCCUAAUAUCGAAUCGAGGCAGGUUGUUUGCCAUUUUCUCUUCUUGUUUAACUUUUUUACUAAUUUUAUUCUUUUUAUCGAUAAGUGUUUAGAUUUGAAACGAGGUUGAAAUGAUAUUUUCUUGUAGAAGAAUAUAAUUUUUUUAAAAAAUGUCCACAAAAUAUUGCAUUAUGCUUUUAAUUCGUAAUUUAUUUUUUGAUAAUAUUUAUAUCAAAAAUAUAUAUUUAUAUGUAAUUAAUAUUUGAAAAAUGAAAAUAAAAAAACAAGAAUUAUCAGCAGAAACAAAUAAGAAAAUUUUAAAAUUAAUAAAAACAAGUUAAACUUUUAAUGAAAAGAUUCUGAGAAUAUUGUUAUUCCUAUUUUUAAUAAUUAAACAUAAUUUCUCUCAUAUCAUGCAUAUAAUUAUUUCUUUAGAUAAAUAAAUUUUCAAAUUAUUCAUUGUUCAGAUCAUUCAAAUGUUCGAUUUUGUUUUGCUCAUGCACUCAAAUCUACGUAUCCAUAAACACUUAUUUUCCUAUUUAUCGAAAUAACAUAAUUUCAAUUAAUUGCAUCAAUCCUUCUCCAAAAAUUAAAAUUCAAAAGAUAUAGGAAUCAUCCUUGGCCACGUUUCAACAACAAUUCAAAUUCUUCCUCCACUGCAAUAUUUUCUCGUAUACUCGAAAUUCGUUCAUUGAGAAAUUCAACAGACGAAAUCUCCGAAACAUCCUCGUCCACCGUAUAUCAUUCAUGAACACCUCCUUCAUCCUUGAACGCGAAAACCAUAAGCACGAUUAAAGCAAAAAUGGCAAACAACACGAAGGAUGUUCGAAUUAUUUCGUUAGCACGAGGCACGAGGAUCAGGCGAACGGGUGAGCGUCGUGCGAAACACUAGCUAAGGACACUGUAUAGCGGGGUGCCUGAGUAUGGGGGCGCGCCCCUUCGCGCACAGGGCCCCCUCAAGCGGCGUGCAUCAGACUACAUUCGAUACGUUGUCCACGAGGGGUUCCCCCGUCGACCCAUCGUGGCCCUAUGACUAAUAAGAAGCCUGGCAGACACUGUCACACGAAUCCACGUAUCCCGUGUUAAACGAUGCAAAACUUUGUGGCUUCGGGAGGUUGAUCGAGGACGUGUAAGGGUGAAUCGAUAAAUAAGUUAGUAGACCCUAUUCUAAUUUUUGUAACAGCAUAUCAUCUUGUUCUUUUUGGUAAUUAUUUAGAGAAGUUUUCUGCGAUUUGUUUUCUUGAUUUUAAAAUAUAUCAAAAAUAUAUUAUCAAGAUCAAUAUUUUGAAUAAUUUUUUUUCUACAGAUAUAUAAAAUCGGUCGCAAAGAAUUCGUAUCUUACGAAGAGAUUCAUCUUAAAUUUUGAUUUUUCAGAAAUUCCAAUUUAAAUAUUUUCAUAAAUUUUCACAAUUUUUCAUUACAUGUAAUUCAUUAAAAAUAAAGAAAUUAAAAUCUUUUUUAUUUUUAAUGAAGCUCCGUUCCAUAUGUUAUCUUAUCAAUAUUUAUCAAUGAUAUAGUUAUAAUUCUCGAACAUGUAUCAAUUAUAUUAUUUUUAUUUUUUAAGAAUAAACUAAAACUGAAAAUAGAAAAAAAAAAAAUAAAAAAAUAUUCUCAACUCGACGAAUAUCGUAUCAAAAUAUUUUUUUUUCUUCAACCCCUAAUAUUCCCCGAUCGUUUUUCAUCGAUGCGGAAUCUCAGUCUAUAACCUUCAUCCACGGCACUCACCCCUAUCGUUUCAGAGACAAUCUCUCUCGUCUGAAUCGAACCGCGAGCAUCUAUCGUUCGAUGUCGUUUUCUCCUGAGUGUCGUUACCUAAACCGAAUACGCAACGCGAAUUUCGAUUACCGUUUUGCAUAUACCGGAUCGCGACACAUGGGACACUUUCUUCUUCAGGAGAAAAUUUGAUGUACGCGUUCCAGCCCCUUGUUCGGUGGUUUCGGGUGAAGAUGAUGUACAUCUCGCAUCUGGCGUGCAUUUUUGAUAAAAAUGUGAUCGUACCUUAUAUACAGAAUGUUAAUACACACGUGAAAUAUAUUAUCUUUUGAAGGGUCGAUUCUAGGGACCAAAAAGAAAAAUUUUCUAUGUAUAAUAAAUAAGUUUUGUCCAUUUAUUAUAUCAUUUAUUUAUGUUAUGUUAUUUUUUAUGUAUUAACUUUUGUUUUUGUUCUAGCUUCAAGAAUCUUAGAAAAAUAUUUCACGAAUAUAUUAAUAUAUAUAUAUUGGGAAGAAACUUAUUUAAUAAUACAAUUAAAGUAUAAUUGAUUAAUUAGAUCAAAGUAUUAGAAAAAUUAAUUUUUUUUAUUUAUUAAAUAUAUUUAAUAUAUAUAUUUUUUCGUUUUCAUUAUUAAUAAUGAAUUUAUGCUAAAAUUUCAAUGUAAUAAUUUUAUUAGGUUUUUUAUCUUUUUUUUUUUCAUUUGAAAAAUUAAAAAAGAGAUCGAGAAAGGCGAGAAAUUCUUGAUUAAGCAAAUGCUUAGAUAAAUCAAUAACCGACUUUUUUUUCGAGAUCUGAACCCACAAAAAUUGCCCCCGUAAUUCUGCCCACCAAUGUCGAAAAGCGAUGUUAUCGAGGAGAACUGACGAGCGUUUUACCGGUGGUGAUCAGAUAACACUUGCAAACAAUGAGAGAAAAAAAAUCGUGCUAAAUCAGCAAUUUCCUGCUUUCAUUCGUGUUAAAAGCUUUCAUUAUAUUUUAUGCAUUUUAUGCAAAGCUUGUAUAAUUAAUAAUAAUUUCAAUUAGACAUAAAAAAAUGAUUAAUUAAAUAUAAUUUUACAAUAAUUUAAUUUUGCAAAACAAAAAAAUAAUGAAUGUUAUAUUUUUCUUUUGACCUUAUACAAAAUUUAUUAAAUGAUCAAUAUUAUAUAUAACAAAUAUUACGAAAUAUGAAUUAUUGUUUAUAAAUAAAAAUAAUCUAAAUUA